UCUGAAAAAAUACAAAAUGACCUUUGGUGUGUGAAAGGACAUUCUAAAUUGAGUCUUUGAUUUUUUUUAUUUAUUUUUUUUUUUUACUUUUUAACACCCAAGUCUAAGCCAUUUCAACCUAUCACGGGUCAUUGUCUCAGGAAGGGUAGAGGACCACUGGGUAGGACUCAACAGCUUGAUUGGAAGGAAGACUCUAAUGUAGGGAGUAAGGCUACCUGGGCCUUCUCCGAAACUACUGGUUGAAAGAUUGCUUAUGGAGGGCAGAUAGCCCAGAGCAGUCAUGGGACUAUUCUAGAACUCGCCUGUUAGUCUUGCUCAUCUAUCCAUCAUCAACAGCCUAUUACCUACUCACAUCCAUCUACUCUUCACUCAUUUAUCUAGCAUUUAUCCCAUCCAUCCAUCCAUCCAUUCAUCCAUCCAUCCAUCCAUCCAUCCAUCCAAUGUGAUAGACUCUCAUAAGUUCUCAGGCCUGGUUCUAGUGGCUAAGAUGUAAGGAUCAAUAUGACAAUCCUUUCACAGAGCUCUCAGUCAUUGAGAGACAAUGACAGAAACCAGCUACUAUGCUGUGAAAUGUCAUGGCAAGAGGCUUUAACCUGGGCAAGAGACUCAGAGCAAAAGGGCGCCCAGGAGGAAGAGCUGAGCAUACCUGAAGGAUAUAGAUGACAUGCCAAAAGGAGGUGGGGAGGAAUGCUGCAGAGAGAAGGAACAGCAUGUUCUAAGGUACCCAACCCAAUCUAGUUCUGACCCCAUCUUUCUUCCUGCCCCAGCCCAGCUUGUCAAGCUUCAGUUCUUGGUGCCUCUUCCCUGUUGUUCCCCAGGAUGAGCAGAGUGAUGGAGAGUCCUGGGCAAAGAAGAUGCAGGGGACUAGGGAAAAGAUAGACCAAGGGUACAGCUCAGGAGCAGAAGGGUCAAUGCCCAUGCUGAACUCUAGACCUCUGGGUUCCCAGUGUGAUUGCCAUUAAAAGACCUUAAGCCAACCAUUGCCAGGCCCUUGUUUAAGUAACAUACCUACCUAUUCUAAGCCACUGUAUUCACAUUUCCCAUUCCUCUGCUUCCUUUAACUUAACCCUCAUGAAUUCACCAUUCCUGUUGCCUGACCCCUACUCCAGACAGACAAAUAGAUGUAUGGGCAGGUGGAUGUGCUGAUGGAUGUGAGGAUGGAUAGAUAUAUGAUAAUUAGAUGAUGGGUGGAAAGAGAAUGGAUAGAUAGGUAAGUAAAUGGAUAGAUGUGUGGGUGGAGGGAUGGGUGUAUGGAUGGAAGGAUGGAUAAGUAUGGAUGAAUGUGUAGAUGGAAGGAUGGGUAGGUAUGAAUAGAUAUAUAGAUGGGUACAUGGUUGGCUAGAUCAUAAAUAGAUGGACAAAUUGAUUGGGAAUUUGGAUACAUGGUUAUAUAGUAGAUUUCUGCUUCAUGGGGGCAUGCUCAGAGUCUCAUAAAGAACUGAUCUCUUAGUGGGAAGAGAUGAGAAAUCUUGGGGUGACAAGUAAGGGAAGAAAACCCAGAGACACAGAGAAGUCCCUCUGGUGAGCUCAGAGUCUUCCAAUGUUAGACCCUCUACUCCAUGCUCUCCCUGGCUCAGAGCAUGCCUCCUGUGAUGACAGAGGGGAAGACCUACUGAGUAUGACACCAUCUCAAAGGUAGAAUGAAAGAGGAAAAGGCCAUGCAGCAUAGGCCAUCUCUCUGCUUCCCAGCAGAGCACAUUGCUCUCUAUCAUGACGUUCUCAUCCACAGUCCAGAAAUGACAGCUGGCAACUACCAGCUGAGAACUCUGAGCCCAAAUAAACAGCCUCCACUAGGCUGGCUCGGGCAUUACGUCAUAGUUAUGGAAGGGCUAGCAUACUUUCCAGGCAGCUCAGAAAGAGCAGAACUGAUGGCUCACAAGUGAGACUUUGGGGAGUUGGUGACUACAUCAAGCCAGGUGACUGGGGCUGUAUACCCUGUGUCUCCUGGGAUUCAAGUGGAAGAAACCCUAACUAAUACACCAGCACACGUGUAAAAAGUUUGGCAUGAGGAGGGUGAGCAUCUAACUCCAACCCUGGGAAUCUGAGAUGGGUAGAUCCUGGGAUGCUUGCUGGCUAGCUAGUGUAACAGUGAGCUUCAGGUUCAAGGAGAGACCCUGCUUCAAAGAGUGAGGUGGACAAGCAGUUAAGAAAGCUAUCCAGAUGCUGAUCGCUUUUCUACAUGAGCCACACAAGGCAGAUCACCCCCAUACUUAUAUAGUACACACAUGCAAAACGGAGGGAGAUCAACAUGCUGGACUAAUUCUAUUUUACUAGUAUAUCUGAUAGAAGGAGAGCCCUUAGAUAAAUAGAAACUCAGAAGGCAGAAUGAGGAGUCCCCAAGCUUAGACUAACACACCCAAAACUACAUGAAGCAGUUGGCAGUCAUUCUGUUAUGACCUAAGCAUAAGAAAUGGAGGUUUUAUGUAAAUGAGGAAAAUACCUAGUUAAUAAAUAAAUAAAUGAAUAAAUAAAUAAAU
rnacentral:lncRNA from 1 species